GUAACCGGAUCCCCCUCGUAAACCGAGGGGGCUUUCAGCCGAGCUGGCUGAGGCCCGUGUGUUACCAGCCCGAGUCAACAAGCGCAUUGGAGGUGACUGAAGUUGGCUACGUUCCGCGUAGGCGAGAAGACCGACCAAGCCGUGCUUCCUCAGCAGCUUGCUCUGGAACUCGACCCAGCAGACAACCCCGGGAUCAGGGACGAAACGGGGGCCGAGCGCCGUAAGGCACCCGGCGCGGAACCUGGGCGAGAGGAGACCGCUACCGCUUCACCUGGCGGU
rnacentral:sRNA from 1 species